rnacentral:rRNA from 1 species
UGGCGGCGCGCCUAAUACAUGCAAGUCGAGCGAGAAGACGUAGCAAUACGUUUGUAAAGCGGCGAACGGGUGAGGAAUACAUGGGUAACCUACCCUCGAGUGGGGAAUAACUAACCGAAAGGUUAGCUAAUACCGCAUACGGCUCCUGGUCUGCGGAUCGGGAGAGAAAGCGAUACCGUGGGUAUCGCGCUCUUGGAUGGGCUCAUGUCCUAUCAGCUUGUUGGUGAGGUAACGGCUCACCAAGGCUUCGACGGGUAGCUGGUCUGAGAGGACGAUCAGCCACACUGGCACUGCGACACGGGCCAGACUCCUACGGGAGGCAGCAGUAAGGAAUAUUGCGCAAUGGGCGACAGNCUGACGCAGCGACGCCGCGUGGGGGAUGAAGGUCUUCGGAUUGUAAACCCC